rnacentral:rRNA from 1 species
GAUGAAAGCUAGCUACAGGCUUAACACAUGCAAGUCGCGGGGCAGCAUUGGGGUUGCUUGCAACCCCUGAUGGCGACCGGCGCACGGGUGAGUAACGCGUAUCCCACCUGCCCUUCACCACGGGAUAACCCGGCGAAAGUCGGACUAAUACCGUAUGUUGUCCAUUGACGGCCUCCGAUUCGGACGAAAUGCCUGGCGGUCAAAGGAUGGGGAUGCGUUGGAUUAGCUUGACGGCGGGGUAACGGCCCACCGUGGCUACGCUCGGUAAGGCUUAUGAGAGGAAGGUCCCCCACACUGGAACUGAGACACGGUCCAGACUCCUACGGGAGGCAGCAGUGAGGAAUAUUGGUCAAUGGGCGUAAGACUGAACCAGCCAAGUAGCGUGCAGGAUGACGGCCCUAUGGGUUGUAAACUGCUUUUAUGCGGGGAUAAAGUGGCCCACGUGUGGGCUUUUGCAGGUACCGCAUGAAUAAGGACCGGCUAAUUCCGUG